ACGGAAGGCAGCAGUGAGGAAUAUUGGUCAAUGGUCGAGAGACUGAACCAGCCAAGUAGCGUGAAGGAUGACUGCCCUACGGGUUGUAAACUUCUUUUGUUCGGGAAUAAAGUGCCGUACGUGUACGGUUUUGUAUGUACCGUUCGAAUAAGCAUCGGCUAAUUCCGUGCCAGCAGCCGCGGUAAUACGGAAGAUGCGAGCGUUAUCCGGAUUUAUUGGGUUUAAAGGGAGCGUAGGCGGACUGUUAAGUCAGCGGUGAAAUGUCAGUGCCCAACACUGUCCUGCCGUUGAUACUGGCGGUCUUGAAUACACACAAGGAAGGUGGAAUUCGUCGUGUAGCGGUGAAAUGCUUAGAUAUGACGAAGAACUCCGAUUGCGAAGGCAGCCUUCUGGGGUGCGAUUGACGCUGAGGCUCGAAAGUGCGGGAAUCAAACAGGAUUAGAUACCCUGGUA
rnacentral:rRNA from 1 species